GGCAGGAGGCGCCCCCUCCCAACCGCGGCGAGGGUCUCAGUUGGAUGUUCCAGGAUGCUCAGAGCCCAGCUGGUCCCCAGGCUGCUGCCCCCCUGCCCGUGAGCGGUGCCGUCAGCAGGUCCUGGUGCUGGGGGGCGGGCGGCAGUACAGAACACCAUACUCCAGCAAGCCCGGCAGUCACCACCUCCAGGGAGCCCUCGGAGCUCCUCCAUCAAGGCCACCACAUCCUCCUGACCACAUCCUCCCAGGCUGCACCCGGACUUGGCCCCUCCCCUGUCUCCUAGGUGUGACCUCAAGUCUGCAACCCAGCCCAGCCCAGCGCAGCCCAGCCCAGCCCAGCCCAGCGCAGCCCAGCCCAGCGCAGCCCAGCCCAGCGCAGCCCAGCGCAGCCCAGCGCAGCCCAGCCCAGCGCAGCCCAGCGCAGCCCAGCGCAGCCCAGCGCAGCCCAGCGCAGCCCAGCAUCACCGCCCUCAGCCCCAGGGCCACAAACACAAAACCAGGGUAGGAAACACCAGGCCCUGUGUUAGAUUUC